rnacentral:rRNA from 1 species
GACGAACGCUGGCGGCGUGCUUAACACAUGCAAGUCGAACGGAAAGGCCCUGCUUUUGUGGGGUGCUCGAGUGGCGAACGGGUGAGUAACACGUGAGUAACCUGCCCUUGACUUUGGGAUAACUUCAGGAAACUGGGGCUAAUACCGGAUAGGGGCUCCUGCUGCAUGGUGGGGGUUGGAAAGUUUCGGCGGUUGGGGAUGGACUCGCGGCUUAUCAGCUUGUUGGUGGGGUAGUGGCUUACCAAGGCUUUGACGGGUAGCCGGCGUGAGAGGGUGACCGGCCACAUUGGGACUGGGGUACGGGCCGGACUCCUACGGGAGGCAGCGGUGGGAAAUAUUGCACGCUGGGCCGAGGCCUGAAGCAGCAACGCCGCGUGCGGGAUGACGGCCGUCGGGUUGUAAACCGCUUUCGCCUGUGACGAAGCGUGAGUGACGGUAAUGAGUAAAGAAGCAACGGCUAACUACGUG